rnacentral:rRNA from 1 species
UACGUAGGGUCCAAGCGUUGUCCGGAAUUAUUGGGCGUAAAGAGCUCGUAGGCGGUCCGUUAAGUCGGAAGUGAAAUCUCAAGGCUCAACCUUGAAAUCGCUCUCGAUACUGGCGGACUUGAGGCAGGUAGGGGAAGGUGGAAUUCCUGGUGUAGCGGUGAAAUGCGCAGAUAUCAGGAGGAACACCGGUGGCGAAGGCAGCCCCCUGGGCCUGUACUGACGCUCAUGCACGAAAGCGUGGGGAGCAAACAGG